UGGCCGAGGCCACCAAUCAGCUGCGGUCCUGGGUUCUGGUCAAAGGUCACAUCUUUCUCUCUGUGGAGUCAGCUGGCCCCUUCGUCACCUUCCUACAAUAUCUUGCCUUUCUCUCUAAAGAACUUCUCCACCCUCAGAACAGUGUGAUAACCUGCAAUAUGGAGCAGCCAGGGCUGGAAGGAAACCAUGGGUACUAGGAUGGUGAGGACCAUGUCAGGAGGAACCCUUCCCACUCUCUAAGCUGGCAGUGAAAAUCCAGAGCCCUCUGCUAGCAAGGCAGGGUGCUGGUGGGCCGCUGGCUUCUCCCCCAUCCACAGGGUCUGUCCAUGUUCUGAAGGGUGGGCACGCACACACCAAGAAAAGAGAAAACUGGUACAGAGCACGGUCCUAGUGCAGUGGCUUGGGGAAGAAGAAUCCAUCAAUGUGGCCAGCUUGGGCCUCAUCCACAUCCAUGCCCCUCAGGAGAAUGGCCCAAUGCCAAUCAUAUUAACCCAGGUGAAAAGGCAGUUUAAGAAGAGGAGGCCAGGGCUCCAGAGGGGUGCCAAGGAUACUGGGGGACUCUGCUCAGGUGGGCCUAAAGCUAUGCCAGGGAGGCUCUGGAUCCAUGAGAACUCCAUCCCAUCACACUGGAGAGAUUUCACUAAUCCAACAGCAUGGAGCCCACAGGGGUAAGACACACACGCUAGAAAGUUCCAAGACAACAGGAGAGAACCUCAGGACACUGCUCUCAGUCCGGGAUUGAAGAAUAAACAAGAAUAAGAAGAAGUAAGAUCCAAAUAAUUUAACUUAAAAGACUGAAGUAGACGUAUAAACAGCAGACCCUGUAAAAAAGAUGGCAUCUUUUUCCAAGUAGCCACGGAAUACUCACAAUGUUGGCCAUAGGUAAGCCACAAAUAAACUGUCAAUAAAUGAUCAAAGGCAUAGAGAACACAGGCCGCAUUCUUUGAUCAGAAAUCAAUAAAAGUAGAUAUUAAUAAUCAAAAAAGAAAGAGAUAUACAAAGUUCCCAAUCUCCCAACUCCCACACACCUGGAAAAUUAAGAAAAUGUCCUCAUAAGUGACGUCAGGUGGAAAGAGAAUGGAAGACUGUUAGUAUGCAAAAUGUAGAAAAUGAUGAGGAAAAACAUGAAUACCAGCGGGACAAAGCCUGCGUCAUCCUCGGGAGGAAGGUCCAGAGCCUGAAUUAUUUCAUCACCAAGCCCAAAGGAAUCAACAUCAAUGGACUGAACAUUCAACUUCAGAUUUUAGUAAAGUAUAAAAGGCCAAACAAAAGAAUAAAACAAAAGAAUAUCAACAUGAA